GGUUUGGCGAGGGCGGGGGGUGGGGGCUGCCCGACGAACGGCACUCUGUGCGCAGGCGCACCUUCCCCAGACCCGGCUCCGCGUCUUAAGUCAGUGGGAGGUGAGAAGAGCCAGCCCGUGGUCCUAGACUGUGGGAAACCCAGGCGUGGGAAGCGUGAGGGGAGGAGUAUCACCGCGGGCGCCCAAGGCCGGUUUGUGGGAGUAAGGACGGGGAGAAGCAAAAGUUGUGCCCAGACAUGAGGAAGACGUCCAGAUGUCUCACCGCGGCGAUGCGCGCCGCCAGGAUGAGUGGGACGUUCCGGAGCUUCGCCACGGAGUGCUGCGUAGAUGGCGGUGGGGCCAUGGCCCAGAGACCUAUGUUAGGUGAAAAACUGGGUUCUGCUUAAGAUUUUUGUCAUUUAUUACUAUGGAAUCUUUUAAAGGUUGCCAAAGGAUGUGAAUGGAUGGAGAGAAUAAACUGUAAAGGAAAACAGCUUUUAAGAGCAACGUUUCUCAAAUUAGGUUCCACAGAUGGGAAGGAUCCUCAAGUUCCCUGCCAGACUGUUUAAACUUUGCGUUUUAAGUCCAUGGACAAAUUAAUUCUACAUCAUCUAUACGACUUCUUAAUUUCAGAGCCCAAGCAUGUUUUUUGUUCCUGUUAGUCUUCCUUUAAUUGUGUGGACCAAUGAGAAACUAACAGAGUUAGAAUAUGUCAAAGGAAAACAAAAGGUACACUAUAGAAAAGUUUUUGCAGUUGUUAGAAUAAAGUAAUAAAGGAUU